AAUAAACUACAGAAUAUUUAUAGAGAUAAAUAAGUUUUACAAUAAAUUAUAAAAGCUGGAAAUAUUUAUUUCAGAGAGUCCAGUUCUGAAGGAGAAAGAUCUUCUGAGAGUGGCUAAGAGGUUAGGACGUGAUUGGUGGCAAAUAGUUAUUGUUUUAGAAGUUGAUACAACUAAACUGAAAAUUGAUGAUGAGUCUAAUGUCACUGUAAAACAAGGCUACCAGAUUCUUUACGAAUGGUUCAAAAAUUGCGACCCAGAAACACGGACACACGCAACAUUACGUGCAGCUCUUGAAGAAGCUGAAUGUUUCGCUGCGAUGGAAUGUCUGUCAUUAGACGCAAAGUGAAUUUCUGUGUAACUGUUGUUGUUUAGCCUCAGAUUAACCUUGACCAAACAGAGACUUAUGAUCAAACGCAUUCCAGUCAGGACCAUCAUGCCUAUUUCCAAAGAGAACCCACAACCACAUUGUCCAAUAUGCCUUCUGUACAGUGAUAUCGUGUGAAUUUAGCUGCUAAUUCUAGCAGGUAUAUCAGCCACAUAGUGAUCCCUUCACUGGUUUGGCUCCUUUGUUAAAAAUUCACAUUUAAAAUAAAGACAAACUUUGAAAUGUUCA